CAUCGUCUGAAAAGUUACGCCACUUAAGUUCCUUUCUCACAAAAUGGAGGAUUUACAUAAUCGAGAUUUAAUCAUCUUUAAGAUAAUAUCGUUCAACAUUUUCCAGUUCUAUCCAAAAGGAAAAGUAAACGCAGGAGAGUUUGAAAAAUCAAUGUAUGAUUACUUAUUUAACCAGAGUUAUUACCGGUUCGGCGCCAGAACCAAGGACUUGAUUGGUUUGUGCUUAUCUUGUAGCCUGAUGAACUUCUGUUUCUUCUGGAGGUGGUUGUGGAUGACGAUGACUCCGCCAGCAGGGUACAGAAUCUCUGACUCCGACAAAUAGUGGGCAUUGUACCUGGGUGUGAUACAUUCCGCAUUUUAAUAUGCGAACUAAGUACUGAUAUCUCUUGGAAUUCUUACGCAACAAACAUUGUCAUUACAAUAGUCCCUGUGUCAUGUUUCAUCGUGUUUUUCAAGGUUCCUGUAUUAAUAUUUCAGUGUAGAUAAUUCGCGUACCUAGCUUUUAAAAUAAAUAUCAAACAAUGCGUAGUUAGCCUCUAGCCAGUCUUGCUUGCCAUUACACACCUACUUAGCUACUUACAAUUUAUUGUAGGCAAUGAAUGUUGCUUGCUAAAUAUUAACAUUUAUUAUGUAAUAAAAUAAAAUUAUUAUCUACAGA